AAACAACGUCGCACACUCGCUUCGCUUCGAAAGUUUGAACUUUUGUCAACAAAGUCAACAACGUAAAAGGAUAUAACAAACACUGAAUAUGAACGUGAAAAGACAACAAGCUUGUCAGAAAAUGUUGAUUCUGAAGGCGGUUGGACACAGAUUGCAUCGCAAAUCCACCCUGCAUUGGUGCCGAGUCCGGAUUUCGAUCAGCUGUUGUGACUGUGCUGCUGGCGGUGUUACUGUUUGACAGAAUGCGAGAUAUUCCCUUCUGCUUUUCAGUAUUCAUACUUGACUGUCAUCUCACCAGAUAUCUGAAUGAUGUCAUUGGGAGAAACGCCACUGUCUGUCAACUUCUGGACCAGGUGUUUCCUCAUACUGAAAUGAUUCAGUUCUCAUGCCGAAGUUCAGACAACAAAUCAUCCACAUGGUGUGAAGGAGGCUGUGUUGGUUAUCACUUCCGAGGGUCUUGGCAUCGUACAUGGCAUCAAUAUCCAUAUCUGACAGCUCUUC